rnacentral:pre_miRNA from 1 species
UAUGUACUCCCUCCGUCCAGAAAUACUUGUCGGAAGAAUGGAUGUAUCUAGACAUAUUUUAGUUCUAGAUACAUCCAUUUUUAUGCAUUUCUUCGACAAGUAUUUCCGGACGGAGGGAGUACUUG